UCACAAAACAUGUGUCUGUGAUUUUUGUCUUCUGUGUAAUUUGAGCUUAACCCAAAGCACGAACAGACUAUUGCAAUUCAUUCUUACUUUCCCUUUCCGUCGUCUCUCUGUGUGCUCUGUUGCUUCUUGGCCACAAACCUACCUUCAUCCUCCGAAAUCUCUUUGUUUAUUUAAGAGUUAGGCUUCAAGGCAAAGCUUCUAUUCUUUACCAAGUCACACGAGAAAGGAGGAAAAAAAUUGUACGUGAUUUGUGAGACAAAUUCACUCGCUGCCAACUCAUGUUACAAAGGAAUCGUCGUAAUCUUUGCUUGGGAUUCAAUUGAGGAAGAAAAAAAUUAAGAGCGACUUGUGCAGGAAUGAGAUGUUUUGCCAUAACUCUGCCCACAUUCCUCCUUGUGAGGUAAGGCACUAUUCUUUAACUUUUUUUAAUCUGAUUCCGACAAGACAGAUU